CAUGCAAGUCGAACGGUGAUGACGAGAGCUUGCUCUUGUCUGAUCAGUGGCGAACGGGUGAGUAACACGUGAGUAACCUGCCCCAGACUCUGGGAUAACCCCGGGAAACCGGGGCUAAUACCGGAUAUGACACCAACGGGCAUCCGUAUGGUGUGGAAAGUUUUUCGGUCUGGGAUGGGCUCGCGGCCUAUCAGCUUGUUGGUGAGGUAGUGGCUCACCAAGGCGACGACGGGUAGCCGGCCUGAGAGGGCGACCGGCCACACUGGGACUGAGACACGGCCCAGACUCCUACGGGAGGCAGCAGUGGGGAAUAUUGCACAAUGGGCGAAAGCCUGAUGCAGCGACGCCGCGUGAGGGAUGACGGCCUUCGGGUUGUAAACCGCUUUCAGUUCCGACGAAGCGCAAGUGACGGUAGGAACAGAAGAAGGACCGGCCAACUACGUGCCAGCAGCCGCGGUGAUACGUAGGGUCCGAGCGUUGUCCGGAAUUAUUGGGCGUAAAGGGCUUGUAGGCGGUUUGUCACGUCGAAAGUGAAAACUCAGGGCUUAACCCUGAGCCUGCUUCCGAUACUGGCAAACUAGAGGGAUGCAGGGGAGAAUGGAAUUCCUGGUGGAGCGGUGGAAUGCGCAGAUAUCAGGAGGAACACCGGUGGCGAAGGCGGUUCUCUGGGCAUUUCCUGACGCUGAGAAGCGAAAGCGUGGGGAGCAAACAGGCUUAGAUACCCUGGUAGUCCACGCCGUAAACGGUGGGCACUAGGUGUGGGGAACAUUCCACGUUCUCCGUGCCGAAGCUAACGCAUUAAGUGCCCCGCCUG
rnacentral:rRNA from 1 species